rnacentral:rRNA from 1 species
AUGAGCAGGAUGAAGCGAAAGUAAAAUUUCGUGGAGGUCCGAACCCACGAGCGUUGAAAAGCUCGGGGAUGACUUGUGGGUAGCGGUGAAAUUCCAAUCGAGCCCGGAGAUAGCUGGUUCUCCCCGAAAUAGCUUUAGGGCUAGCCUCAAGGUGAGAGAUACGGAGGUAGAGCACUGAAUGUCCUAGGGGGUAUUGCACCUACCGAAGACUAUUAAACUCCGAAUGCCGUCAUCUUAUACUUGGGAGUCAGACUGUGGGUGAUAAGAUUCAUAGUCGAAAGGGCAACAGCCCAGAUCGUCAGCUAAGG